rnacentral:rRNA from 1 species
GUCGAGGGGUAACGGGGAAGCUUGCUUCCGCCGACGACCGGCGCACGGGUGCGUAACGCGUAUACAAUCUACCUUGUACUGGGGUAUAGCCUUUAGAAAUGAAGAUUAAUCCCCCAUAGUCUCUUAGAGUGGCAUCACUUCUAGAGUAAAGGUUACGGUAUAAGAUGAGUAUGCGUUCUAUUAGUUUGUUGGUGUGGUAACGGCACACCAAGACUACGAUAGAUAGGGGCCCUGAGAGGGGGAUCCCCCACACUGGUACUGAGACACGGACCAGACUCCUACGGGAGGCAGCAGUGAGGAAUAUUGGACAAUGGAGGCAACUCUGAUCCAGCCAUGCCGCGUGCAGGAAGACUGCCCUAUGGGUUGUAAACUGCUUUUAUACAGGAAGAAACACCUCUACGUGUAGAGGCUUGACGGUACUGUAAGAAUAAGGAUCGGCUAACUCCGUGCCAGCAGCCGCGGUAAUACGGAGGAUCCAAGCGUUAUCCGGAAUCAUUGGGUUUAAAAGGGUCCGUAGGUGGAUAAUUAAGUCAGAGGUGAAAUCUUGCAGCUCAACUGUAAAAUUGCCUUUGAAACUGGGUAGUCUUGAGUUAUUAUGAAGUAGUUAGAAUAUGUAGUGUAGCGGUGAAAUGCAUAGAUAUUACAUAGAAUACCAUUUGCGAAGGCAGAUUACUAAUAAUCAACUGACACUGAUGGACGAAAGCGUGGGUAGCGAACAGGAUUAGAUACCCUGGUAGU